rnacentral:misc_RNA from 1 species
GGAUGAUAUUGAAGAAAAUGUGGCUAAUGCAGGACACUUUCAUCAGCGGAGGAACCAGCAAUCUUUACCAUGCCAAUCAGAUAAAGGUGAAGAGGAAGGCUUGGAAUUAUUGGUAUUGGGCUGUGAUGGUGAUCAUACUUUUGGUUUGUAUCCUUUCAACGUUAGCUUCAUGAGGGAUUAAUAGAUUUUUAUUUGACGACUUUCAAGUUCAGAGUGUUGCCUCUUGGGUUCUGUACAAUCAUGCGCAGCUAGAAUUUUUCUAAUUCUGGGAGAGAUCUUCUAUUUUGAGCAGAAAUUUGGAAGAUAAUUUGUAUAUAGCAGGUGGGCCUCUUUCUCAUGGGUUUU